UUUCCGUUGGUGAACCAGCGGAGGGAUCAUUACCGAGUUUACAACUCCCAAACCCCUGUGAACAUACCAUUUCUUGCCUCGGCGGUGCCUGCUUCGGCAGCUCGCCAGAGGCCCCAGACCCUUGCUUUUAUACAGUAUCCUCUGAGUAAAUGAUAAAAUAAAUCAAAACCUUCAACAACGGAUCUCUUGGUUCUG
rnacentral:misc_RNA from 1 species